rnacentral:misc_RNA from 1 species
CCUUUUGUCGCCUCACCGCCGUCGGUUUCCCAAGAGGGGAGGAGCACCUUAUGGUGAGCCACUGCACCGGAAGGGAUCGCUGCAGCCCCCCCCCGAGCCUGUGCUUUGUGACUGGCGUGUCGUCGAGGUAAAAUGGCAGAGCAGCUAGGCGCCUCCCUACCCACUGGCAGUGCCGCUGCAGCCGAGGGGUCUGCGACGGCGGCGGCAGCAGCGACAGCGAACUGGUCGUACGUGCCCCUGCCGUCGUCGACCACCUUCGACUACUUCACAGAGCGUUACUACCACCAAUUCAGUAUCCGUGACUGCAAAAAGGUGAAGGGGAACGACUGCCGCAUUCUCCAGCACAGCAACGGGUUGUGCGUGCUCUGCCUCGAUCCUAAUCAUGAACUUGUGCGGCGCUGCGCGCCCGCUGAUGCGGGUGUGACGGUGGCCAAGGUGGCGUUCUUCAAGGGUCGCACCGCUAUCUCGCCGGAGAAUAUCCAAGUUGUAGGCAAGAAAAAAAAGAACGCACUAGUCUGCCAGAAUGACACGAAACUCUGCAGCAUUGUGCUCUCGGACGGGACGGAGUACACAGUCCCCGCCUGCGUGAACGGGUUCGUGCUCGAACUGAACGCAACAUUGCUGGAGCAGCCAUGGAUGGUGGCAGUGGCACCCACUGCCGAGGGUUACUUGGCCAUCAUCAACCCAACCUCCAAGGCAGACUUCAGCGGCUAUGAAAAGAUCUGGACGGCCACCGGCGGUGACGCGGUCGGCGAAGACGAAGAUUGAAUGCAGACACACGUAAAAGUAUACAAGGCCACACUGUCCUCUCGGGCUCAUCGCAUCGAGCGCGGUUUGUAUGGAUAGCUGUUACGUAUCCCCCUCCGUGUCUCUGUGUGGCACAAGGCCUGUGCGAUCGAUUAAAAAGUGCCAGAGAGACUCGGGCAACCAGCAAGGGGGACUUUGUCCUGCGGUGCGGCUGACACCCCACACCAAGCUAGGAGAUGAGUCCCGCAGCUGGGGUUGGAAAGGGAACUUGCAAGGUCGUGGUGGUGACGUGUGGAAAAAAAAAGAAGCAGCAGCCUUCUUGGAUGUCCUCUUGCUGUGUCGGCUCGUUCUCCUGACUCUCUCUAGAUGCAUGGCAGCUGCUCGGAGAAGGGGGAGGGCGCGGACCUCGCACGCACAUCUCAGUCACUCAAAUGGACGCGCACACACACACCAACCUUCCCUCCCCACCCUUGCACGCACUCAACCCUCGCUUCGACUUCUCCACAUCGGACUUUCAUUGCUCGCCUUUUUUUUUCGGUCUCGCCAG